rnacentral:rRNA from 1 species
AAUAGAUACCCCGGUAGUCCACGCCGUAAACGAUGAGUGCUAAGUGUUGGGGGGUUUCCGCCCCUCAGUGCUGCAGCUAACGCAUUAAGCACUCCGCCUGGGGAGUACGGUCGCAAGACUGAAACUCAAAGGAAUUGACGGGGGCCCGCACAAGCGGUGGAGCAUGUGGUUUAAUUCGAAGCAACGCGAAGAACCUUACCAGGUCUUGACAUCCCGGUGACCACUAUGGAGACAUAGUUUCCCCUUCGGGGGCAACGGUGACAGGUGGUGCAUGGUUGUCGUCAGCUCGUGUCGUGAGAUGUUGGGUUAAGUCCCGCAACGAGCGCAACCCUUAUUCUUAGUUGCCAUCAUUUAGUUGGGCACUCUAAGGAGACUGCCGGUGAUAAACCGGAGGAAGGUGGGGAUGACGUCAAAUCAUCAUGCCCCUUAUGACCUGGGCUACACACGUGCUACAAUGGACGGUACAAACGGUUGCCAACCCGCGAGGGGAGCUAAUCCGAUAAAACCGUUCUCAGUUCGGAUUGUAGGCUGCAACUCGCCUACAUGAAGCC